UACAGAGGGUGCGAGCGUUGUUCGGAAUUAUUGGGCGUAAAGGGCGCGUAGGCGGUGCGGUAAGUCACCUGUGAAAUCUCCUGGCUCAACUGGGAGCUUGCAGGCGAAACUGCCGUGCUGGAGUGUGGGAGAGGUGAGUGGAAUUCCCGGUGUAGCGGUGAAAUGCGUAGAUAUCAGGAAGAACACCCGUGGCGAAGGCGGCUCUCUGGGACGGUACUGACGCUGAGACGCGAAAGCGUGGGGAGCGAACAGG
rnacentral:rRNA from 1 species